CAGAAAGAAAAGGUAAAAACAAAGGGCAAUACCAGAAAGAAAAGGUAAAAACAAAGGGCAAUACUAGAAAGAAAAGGUAAAAACAAAGGGCAA